UCGGGAAUAUUGCGCAAUGGAGGAAACUCUGACGCAGUGACGCCGCGUGCAGGAAGAAGGUUUUCGGAUUGUAAACUGCUUUAGACAGGGAAGAUACAAGACAGUACCUGUAGAAUAAGCUCCGGCUAACUACGUGCCAGCAGCCGCGGUAAUACGUAGGGAGCAAGCGUUAUCCGGAUUUAUUGGGUGUAAAGGGUGCGUAGACGGGAAAACAAGUUAGUUGUGAAAUCCCUCGGCUUAACUGAGGAACUGCAACUAAAACUAUUUUUCUUGAGUGCUGGAGAGGAAAGUGGAAUUCCUAGUGUAGCGGUGAAAUGCGUAGAUAUUAGGAGGAACACCAGUGGCGAAGGCGACUUUCUGGACAGUAACUGACGUUGAGGCACGAAAGUGUGGGGAGCAAACA
rnacentral:rRNA from 1 species